rnacentral:rRNA from 1 species
UACGAAGGGUGCAAGCGUUACUCGGAAUUACUGGGCGUAAAGGGUGCGUAGGUGGUUUGUUAAGUCUGCUGUGAAAUCCCCGGGCUCAACCUGGGAAUGGCAGUGGAUACUGGCAAGCUAGAGUGCGGUAGAGGGUAGUGGAAUUCCCGGUGUAGCAGUGAAAUGCGUAGAGAUCGGGAGGAACACCAGUGGCGAAGGCGGCUCACUGGACCAUAACUGACGCUGAUGCACGAAAGCUAGGGGAGCAAACAGG